UACGGGGGGGGCAAGCGUUGUUCGGAUUUAUUGGGCGUAAAGAGCUCGUAGGCGGUCUGUCACGUCGGCUGUGAAACCCGAGGCUCAACCUCGGGCCUGCAGUCGAUACGGGCAAACUAGAGUACUGCAGGGGAGACUGGAAUUCCCGGUGUAGUGGUGAAAUGGCGUAGAGAUCGGGAGGAAUACUGUGGCGAAGGCGGCCUACUGGGCCGGACCUGACGCUGAGACGCGAAGGCGUGGGAGCGAACGGGUG
rnacentral:rRNA from 1 species